GGAAUUUUAAUAUGAUUAUAAUAUACAGAGACUUUUGCUCAGCAGUGGGAUAUUUACAAGUCGUAUAGUCGAAGAAGUUAUUCAUAUAACACUUAAUUAUAAAAUAAGUUUCUGCCUGAGCUCAGUUAAACGACUUCAAUAUAGAGGCUUAUAUUCCAGUUUAAGUAUUUUAAUAAUUAGAGUUACACUACAAAACAAUUGAAUAUACGUACCAUAAAGGUACUCAUUAUAAUUCUUCAAGCCUCUUAUUUCAACCAAUUUUACUUUAAAACACUAAUAUAAUUACCUCACAUUACCAUACGGCCUAAUAAAGAUCGCAAAUUAAGGCAGUUACAAAAUCUGAGAACACAUUCAAGCCAUCAAUAAAAUGAACAAGUAACAUUAACCUUAAGUUAAACCGUAAAAAUUGCGGCCUUCGUACACACGAGGUAGCGAAACUUGUAGCUAGUGAUGUUUGUUGUCGAUACCGAGUUGUCGAUAGCCCCCCGCGACUGUUUACAAGCGACUUGUUUAGCCAGUCGGUUGGCAUCGUUCGCGCGCGCCGCACGUACGCUGCGCAAGCGCACGCCGUUCGUUAACCCCGUGUUACGAUCUGUCAAAUUUCGUAAUAUCAAUAUUGUAUGAUAGCAGUGUAUUUACGUUGUCAGCGAAAGUUUUUCAGUGUUUUAAAGCGAUUUUGACGCGUGAAUACCUACGGAGAUAAUAUAGUGUUGUGCCGGAUAACUGUUUUUGUAUUUUUUUUCUGUGAGUGAUGUGAUUGUUUUGUGUUUUGUGAAGUGCUAUCAUGUAAUGUCGCUCAUAGCUGAUAUGUCUACUAUAAUUAGCGAGCUACAAUGGCUUCGCGACGAGGAUUUCUUAGCACUAUCUUGGCAAAACGGUAAUUAUCAUACAGAUGGAUGAGUCCUAGUCAACAUAAGUAAGCAUAUAAUAAAAUAAUCUUCAGCCCAAACCCCAUAAAUAUAUUUUCGACACUAAUAUCUGAAAACACUUUCGUUUACUUUAUCGAUAAAAUGCACUUCAUUUAUCGACCUGUCCCAACACUAAUCAAAGCUGACCCAUAUCGUCGAAAAACGCUUCCUCGUUGAUUCACAAUCGGCCUACUGUUCUGACUCUGAGUAACUUGCAACUUGGUAUUCAGGUCAAAAACAUCGAUGUUUUUUUCGACGACACUGGCUUAUGUAAAAUAAACAUUUUCUUUUUUAAAUGUAUAGAUAAAAAGCCAAUAAAACUUUAUGGUGAAGUUGUAAUGGUGUCUGUCAGGCGAAUUGUUCGAUGUUGGAUGGUGUAAUAGAGUGUCGUUAACCCGAUUAUGUGAACGCGUUUUAACAGUUGGUUAAGUUUUGAUAGCCUGGUCAACACUUAGUUACCUAACGUUUUAAUUGCAAAUGAAACUACUAAUUAUCAUUAAAGAUAUUAAGAGAAGUCUGACUACACGACUGAGAACGGGUCACUAUGCCAAUGCCUACUGUGCUUCGCGAUAUUUUUUUUGUUUUCUAUUUAAACUAGCUGUUAUUCGCAGUUUCUCUAACAAAGGCAGAUAAAAAAGCUCAUUUGUUUAUCAAAAUCAAUCUAGCCGUUUAUCUUUAGAAGGAACAACUUUACACAUCCAUACACAAACUUUCGCCAAAUGUGAUUAAUCCAGCCUUCAAAGUCUUUUCUUCUCGUAUAGACAAAGACAAUUAUUACAUCAACAGUAAAAUUAAAAAUAUUCUAUCUUCAAAAUCGAUAUAAAGUAGGAAAUAUUACACACAACACUUGUAUAUACAAGGGACUUACCACUGAUUCCUACAACGUUGCACAUAAAUACAUGUGUAAAAGAAACACCGCUCUACGCCAUGUAUCGUUGUCUCGUUCCCACAACUGCAAUAUUCCUCCAAGAGUCGGUAGUAGGAUCUCUGAAUCUUGUAACUUUGUAAGGAGGUUUGAUCAUAAACCUCUUUACAAAGUGCUGCGAGAGGUCGCGAGGGGACCCUCCAUACAAUAUUGUCUUUAUCACGUUACACAUUAUUUUAUUACAUAAGGUUGUAUUACGUACAUAAACUGCGGGCUUAAGUAAAUUAUUUGACGAAACUAUCGAUACCUGUUCGAUCGUGUUAGGGUUGUCACUUGCUUGCUCGUUGGCUGUCGAAUAUUUAAAGCGUAAAGGUUUUAAUGGUAAAUGAGUGGUUACGUUAAGGAAAUCAAAUGUAGUAAAAAUGAUAAAAAUAACCUUUGUUUCUUUAACCUAAGUCUUUCUUACCAGUUUUUAACCCAAACUAGGUAUGCUUAGAUAAAUAUUAUCUAAUCAUUUAAGUUAGGGCUGUCUAUUCCGUCCAAUCAAAAAUAAUUGAUCA